CGUAGGAGGCGAGCGUUAUCCGGAGUUACUGGGCGUAAAGCGCGUGUAGGUGGUUGGAUACGUCUGCUGUGAAAUGUCCCGGCUUAACCGGGAGGGUGCGGCAGAUACGGUCUGACUAGAGGGCGACAGAGGAGCGUAGAAUUCCGGGUGUAGUGGUGAAAUGCGUAGAGAUCCGGAGGAAUACCAGUGGCGCAAGCGGCGCUCUGGGUCGCAACUGACACUGAGACGCGAAGGCAUGGGGAGCGAACGGGAUUAGAAACCCCGGUAGUCCAUGCAGUAAACGAUGCAGACUGGGUGUGGGGUACGCAAGUAUUCUGUGCCGAAGCAAACGCGCUAAGUCUGCCGCCUGGGAAGUACGGUCGCAAGACUA
rnacentral:rRNA from 1 species